GUGUCUCAUUCUUGAGGAAACACUACAAGCAAUUGGUCCUAAGGCAAUGGUGAUCAGGCACACUCAUCAAGGACACAAUAUUAUCUUGAUGUCAAACCACCAAAUUAAAGCAGAUCUAGCUAUUAUUUUGUUGCUGCUUGAAUUGCGACUUCCAUAUAUUGCUGAAAACUUGAUUUAUGUAGUAGGACAAAGUUAUAACCGAUCCUCUAUGCAAACCCCUCAGUAUUGGCAGG